UACGGGGGGGGCAAGCGUUGUUCGGAAUUAUUGGGCGUAAAGAGCGCGCAGGCGGCUGGGCAAGUCCGAUGUGAAAGCUUCCGGCUUAACUGGAAAAUUGCAUCGGAAACUGCUCGGCUUGAAGGUGGGAGAGGGUAGCGGAAUUCCCGGUGUAGUGGUGAAAUGCGUAGAUAUCGGGAGGAACACCAGUGGCGGAAGGGCGGCUACCUGGCCCCACUCUUGACGCUGAGGCGCGAAAAGCUAGGGGAGCAAACGGGG
rnacentral:rRNA from 1 species